UUUUUUUUUUUUUUUUUUUUUUUUUGGCAAACCUCUGUGCAUGAGGUAGGUGGAAAUGGUUAACCAUGGCUGGGCCCUCAGCCUGGCCUGGGCUCCAUGCUGCAGAGGGGGCAUGGGUGGGAGCUGGGAGCAGUGAGCUGAUGCCUGAUCAGUGGGUCGCUGGACUUCUGAACGCAGGUAAGUGCAUGCAAGGAGGCAGCGUGCAGCCCAGCCCUCUCGGGGCCCAGAUUGCUUCUUGUUAACAGUGAGCUCUCCAGGAGUGCCCUGCUUUUUUAAAAAAUUCACACUGAAAUUUUGUUUGGAGCAAAUGUUGCUUGAAACAAGAAGGCUGUUGGCCUCCAUGGACAGCCUUUUGUUUCAAAGAGCAUGUGUCAUUGCCAAGUUUGACCAUUGUAAGAUGUCAGAAUGUAACUUGUCUUUUCCGAAGCCACUGCUGAUCUGCUCUUGGUCAAGCCUCUCAGGAUUCCAGCUUGAGAAUCAUCUAGAGUAAUUGUGGAGCCUGUGGGAGCUAGGUCCACCCCAUGAAGGGCGGGUGUGUGCUGGCUCCUACACCGUUUUUUGAUUCUUGUUUUCCCUUCUCUUACAGUAUUAAGGGACAUCAGCGAGAGAGGCAGGGAUCUUGAGCAGAUUUUAUCUCAGUACAUUACGUUCGUCAAGCCUGCCUUUGAGGAAUUCUGCUUGCCAACAAAGAAGUAUGCUGAUGUGAUCAUCCCUAGAGGUGCAGAUAAUCUGGUGGCCAUCAACCUCAUCGUGCAGCACAUCCAGGACAUCCUGAAUGGAGGGCCCUCCAAACGGCAGACCAAUGGCUGUCUCAACGGCUACACCCCUUCACGCAAGAGGCAGGCAUCGGAGUCCAGCAGCAGGCCGCAUUGACCCGUCUCCAUCGGACCCCAGCCCCUAUCUCCAAGAGACAGAGGAGGGGUCAGGAGGCACUGCUCAUCUGUACAUACUGUUUCCUAUGACAUUACUGUAUUUAAGAAAACACCAUGGAGAUGAAAUGCCUUUGAUUUUUUUUUUCUUUUUGUACUUUGGAACGACAAAAUGAAACAGAACUUGACCCUGAGCUUAAAUAACAAAACUGUGCCAACUACUACUGGUGAUGCCUAAUUAUGAAUCCAACGUGUAACCAGUUAUAAAUACAUAUAUAUAUAAAAAAGGAUCUAUUUUUGUGUAAAUGUACAAAUACUGUAAAGCUGUUUGCCAUAAGUAUUUUGCAGAAGGGUCUGUACUUGAGUGUUUUAGGACUGGAGCUGGAAUUUCACCAAGGGGAAAUUGCCUGUUGUGUCCCAGGGUGGGGAGGCUCGGGCAUCUGUGAGAGACAGGGAGGGUGGCUAAGGUCCAGUUGCUUUUGAGUGCCCCGUGGAACUUGAUGGGAAUGGGGUUGGAAAACCUUGAUUGCCUCCUCUGUCACAUGCCACUCUUGGAGCUGGAGCUUAGUGAUAUGUCAAUGAGAGAUACUCUUGUCUUUUUUUUUUUUUCUUUUCUUUUUUUUUGAGUUGAAAUUAGGUAAAAUCUCAACUCAAAAAUCAAACUCAGGGAAGAGGCCCACUGAGGAGAACAAGUCUUCUGCAUUUUCUUCCUGCCCUGCUCCCACCUUCUCGCCUCUGGCUGCUUGGAUAGCUUGGUGACUCCUUCCUCACCCUCCUGCUUCUCUGUCUCUCCAAGAAGCCAGAGCUGCCUCUUUCCUUCCCUGGAAGAGAUUUUAUGGGAUCGCUUCCUGAUAGAAGAUGGGAAGGAGAGGGCAGAACUUUGCCUGCUGUCAUAUCUGAAGAAUCACUGGUUCUUUCUGCAUCCCAGGGGCGUAACUGAUCUGACUCCUUGGGCUUUUUCCUGUAUUGUGGAAUAUAGAGUGGACCAUUGCAGGCUGGGUGUGGGUGAGGGCUUCGGUAACUGAUGCCGGCAGCAGCGCCUCAUGGAGUGGCAGGGGAGCUCUGUCUGUGGAGGGGUAGUAGUUUCUGUUUCCUGGAGGUUUGCAGUGAGGUGAGGAGAGUAACUUUGGUCAGGGAUUCUCACUAGCAGCAUCAUGGCCAGGAUGAUUUACUUAUUUGCAAUACCACCUAGUGGAUAUGGCAACUGCAGAGCAUAAAAGGGGCUCGGAAAAGCAGUUUUUAAAAAGUAUUUAAAAGGAGAGUAUUUAAAUCAUAGGUACCUAAGUUGGAGUCUGAGGUUGAAAUAUUUGGGGUGGAGAUUUCUAGCUUUCCUGAGAGCCGCUGCUUGGUGGUAGUGUUUUCUCUGGAAGUACAGAUUCCUGACAUUCUGGGUGGAGAGGAGCCCAAGUGAGCCUGAAGGAGUUCUGGUUAUAGAGUCCCGAGCCUCAGUUUCUGACCGCAGAAGAGCCAGAGAUGUUCAUUUCAUUGUUGACCACCCUAGUGCUUGGUGGACUGUGCCCUUAGCUAUCCCACUGUGGCUGCCAUUGCCAGAAACAUUUUGGAGAACCUUUUCUUCCCAUUGCUCUCAGAGCCUGUUCGAGCCAUUCAGGUAAAUUGGUCUCCAUUAUUACCUGGUCACACCAGAUUUUCCCCCAGACUCAGCACCAUCCAGUCUGAUUCCCCGUUUCUGGGCUCAGUUUGACUCUAAAUCUGUUUUGCUAUUUUAAAAAGUCAAACCUGGUCCCCAACAGAGCUUGCCACCCGGAGACUUUCAGGAGACCAUGCAGGCUCUGAAGGGAGCUCCCAGUCACAGCAGCUGCCUACUUGGAGCAACGGAAGGCUCCUAAGAUGCCUCCUUUGAAAGCCGGUGCUCACCAAGAUCAGUUCAGGAUCAAUCAUUAUCCUUGUAGUCAUGCCUUGAUCAGUUCUGAGAUGAAGCAGGGAAUGCAGGCCUGGGUUAGCAUCCUGAGGACACAGGGCCCCUGGCCUUGAUGGCACUGGGCCGUGCUCAGGUGAAGCCCACCCGUGUCUGGGAGAGCCUUGGCUUUUCAGUGGGCAGCAUGCUCAACUUUACUUGAAGCUCCCAGGUGCCAAACCAUUUAGUGCCUUGGCUGUUUAUCCCACUGCCUUGGAAGAUGGACUCGUCUCAUCUCUGAGCCUUUACCUAGCUGCUUCCUCAUCUACCUGUGGUGUUGGGACCAAGCCUCCAAUAUCUCUGAAUAGCCCACUCCUAGCUUGGAAACAGCUAUAAGGGCUGCCCUGCCCCUUGUCAAAUGAUCACCAAUUCUUGGUGGCUUGGCUGGGGACAAUGAACAGUGUCUGCUGGGGUCUGUGACACACUGUUUCUGGAACAAGGAAGGGAUGGAAGGCUCUACCCCUCCGUGGCAGCCCAGCAUUUGGCCAACUCUGUAUCUGAACUUGAGCUUUCUAUGGAACAAACAAUGGUCUUAGUUUUUUAAGAGCCUCUGGGUCUCUGAUUCCAUGGAGAGUCCGGAGUAGAAUUAGUGGACCAGAAACCAUGACAUUUGCCAUCUAGGUACUCUGCUGUUCAGGGUGGAGGCACAGAUGAGCAGAGUGGGGUGAUGUUGGUUGUAUGUGCAUAGAAGUCCCCUGGCUCCAGAGCCAUCCAGUGGUGCUUGGUUCUCUCUUCCUGCCCAGGUAUUGUGUGUGGACCAAGUGUUUAGGAAACAAGCAUAGAAGCAUUAUGUCACAGGAAGGCCUGGCCUCUCACUCCUUCACACUAAUGAGCCUUCUACUGACCCAAGUUUCUUUUUCUCGGGCAGCCUGGGACCACUAUGAGCAGAGAGAUGGGAGUCUGUGUAAGAAGGAUGCAAGUAUCCUUUGAUUUGGAGUGGACAGAGCAGGUCCUUGCAAAGGCAGUGGGUUAAACAACGGGAUGUCUGUGGGACAGGCCAGGGAAGGAGGGCAGAGACAGGGUCUCCAGUUCACCUUGCCGCAGAACUAACCCAAUCGUCCCUGCUUCUGGUCUUGGCCACUUGGCAAUCAUGGGGAAGUUGACUCCCCGCCUCACUUGGGCUUGGAGCUGGAUACUCGUGGCCACGCCCAGGAUAGGUUGCCAGAGUUUCAUUAGGCUGCUGGGUCCGGCUGGAGGCUUGUGUACACCUCGGAGCAGUCGGGCAGCAGGAGGGCCGGAAGCCUGGUUGGUUUGUAUAUGACCUCUCUUGCCCUUGUGCACUUUCCUUGAUUUAGCAACCUUGACCUGCACUGGCCCUCACAGCUGUUGGAGGGAAGUAGCCUCUUGCAGGGAAAUAUUUUCCUCUGCCCUGGAAUCUCCUAUGUGCCUGUUAAAGAUUCCAGGGCCAAGAACUGGGCAGGCUGAGGAGCAGCUAGGUAGGUGGGUUAUGCGGUUCAGGACUGCUUCUGGAAGGGACUGCCUGUACUUCUGUACCACCGCUGCCCUUUACACUUUGCUCAGGGCGGGGUGGGGGAAGCAUUCAAACAAAACAAGGAAGGGAACUGUCUGGCAAAGCAUAAGUGGAUGCAUCCAGAGCUCAGUCCCCUUUAAUCUUUUGUCUCUGGGCGUUCUGCUGCCCUCCUCAUACCGGGGACUGGCAUUCCAGGUCAGCUUGGCUGUGGUCUUAGAGGCAGGGAGUGCCUACCCAGUCCUGCCUCAGGAGCAGGGUGAGUAGCUAAAUACAGACUUAGGCUUUUUUUCCCCCCCUUUUAAGAUGCUUGCUCCUCUCCCUUUUCUUUUUACCACCCUACCUUUAUUGUUAGUGGUUACAAAGUGACCACAUAUUAUGUACUUUGCUGUAAAUAAAGACAGACAAAAAGGC
rnacentral:sRNA from 1 species